rnacentral:lncRNA from 1 species
UUCGAAUGAAACUCUUUCUUGAUUUCUAGAAAGGUAAGAUCGAUGGGAAAAGGGAGAGUGGAAAAAAAUGAUGAUGAUGUAGUUGGAGAGGACUUGAGGGAGGGCCCAAUAAGUGGAAUCCUUGCAAGGACCAAGCAAGAACACAACACACCAAUAAUGCCAUUGAAUACAACUCCUUAAAAGCAGACAAAGACAUACCAAAACCCUAGAUGACAAAAACAGCCUCACAAAAAGUUGCGAGAAGGAAAAAAAAAAAAAAAAAAACUGUAAUUUUUUGGAUAUCUAGCAUUAUUUAAAAAGAUUCUAUCCGUCCUUGACAUGCAAAAGGGGACCCACUUAUUUGCAAAAGAAAAAAAAAAUGGGUGAGGAGAGAGAGGCAAAAGAUACCCUCCCUCAGGAGGAGGUCUCGCAGAAAUUGAAAUGCCAAGAACAAAGCUUGUCAUCACGUGAAAGAUGCUUUUGGGUUUUGAUAAGGAUUGUGUGUGUCUUCUUCGGAAGCAUUUUAAAUUAGGUAUUGUGUUUGUUCUUUUGAUUGAC